GCACCGCUGGGGAGUCCCAUAAUAGGACGAAACGGCCGUCCAGUGC
rfam:Schistosoma mansoni, Puerto Rico, WGS project CABG01000000 data, contig: 0041